GGAGAUUUAGCUUAGUGGUAGAGCGCUUGCCUAGGAAGCGCAAGGCCCUGGGUUCAGUCCCCAGCUCCG
rfam:Rattus norvegicus chromosome 8, whole genome shotgun sequence.